GGGGGGACGCAGUAGGAUAGGCGAAGCGUGCGAUUGGAUUGCACGUCUAAGCAGUAAGGCUGAGUAUUAGGCAAAUCCGGUACUCGUUAAGGCUGAGCUGUGAUGGGGAGAAGACAUUGUGUCUUCGAGUCGUUGAUUUCACACUGCCGAGAAAAGCCUCUAGAUAGAAAAUAGGUGCCCGUACCGCAAACCGACACAGGUAGUCAAGAUGAGAAUUCUAAGGUGAGCGAGCGAACUCUCGUUAAGGAACUCGGCAAAAUGACCCCGUAACUUCGGGAGAAGGGGUGCUCUUUAGGGUUAACGCCCAGAAGAGCCGCAGUGAAUAGGCCCAAGCGACUGUUUAUCAAAAACACAGGUCUCUGCUAAACCGUAAGGUGAUGUAUAGGGGCUGACGCCUGCCCGGUGCUGGAAGGUUAAGAGGAGUGGUUAGCUUCUGCGAAGCUACGAAUCGAAGCCCCAGUAAACGGCGGCCGUAACUAUAACGGUCCUAAGGUAGCGAAAUUCCUUGUCGGGUAAGUUCCGACCCGCACGAAAGGCGUAACGAUUUGGGCACUGUCUCAACGAGAGACUCGGUGAAAUCAUAGUACCUGUGAAGAUGCAGGUUACCCGCGACAGGACGGAAAGACCCCGUGGAGCUUUACUGUAGCCUGAUAUUGAAAUUCGGCACAGCUUGUACAGGAUAGGUAGGAGCCUUUGAAACGUGAGCGCUAGCUUACGUGGAGGCGCUGGUGGGAUACUACCCUAGCUGUGUUGGCUUUCUAACCCGCACCACUUAUCGUGGUGGGAGACAGUGUCAGGCGGGCAGUUUGACUGGGGCGGUCGCCUCCUAAAAGGUAACGGAGGCGCUCAAAGGUUCCCUCAGAAUGGUUGGAAAUCAUUCAUAGAGUGUAAAGGCAUAAGGGAGCUUGACUGCGAGACCUACAAGUCGAGCAGGGUCGAAAGACGGACUUAGUGAUCCGGUGGUUCCGCAUGGAAGGGCCAUCGCUCAACGGAUAAAAGCUACCCCGGGGAUAACAGGCUUAUCUCCCCCAAGAGUUCACAUCGACGGGGAGGUUUGGCACCUCGAUGUCGGCUCAUCGCAUCCUGGGGCUGUAGUCGGUCCCAAGGGUUGGGCUGUUCGCCCAUUAAAGCGGUACGCGAGCUGGGUUCAGAACGUCGUGAGACAGUUCGGUCCCUAUCCGUCGUGGGCGUAGGAAAUUUGAGAGGAGCUGUCCUUAGUACGAGAGGACCGGGAUGGACAUACCUCUGGUGUACCAGUUGUCGUGCCAACGGCAUAGCUGGGUAGCUAUGUGUGGACGGGAUAAGUGCUGAAAGCAUCUAAGCAUGAAGCCCCCCUCAAGAUGAGAUUUCCCAACUUCGGUUAUAAGAUCCCUCAAAGAUGAUGAGGUUAAUAGGUUCGAGGUGGAAGCAUGGUGACAUGUGGAGCUGACGAAUACUAAUCGAUCGAAGACUUAAUCAA
rnacentral:rRNA from 2 species